AAACUCUAAAUUCUCAUAAUCGUCUCGGCUAUUGAAGAAUAAACAUCUUUGAGCAUAAAAAAAAAACCUUCACAAACUUUUUUUGAUAACCUACUUCCGUAAACAGGCUAUACACGAAAAUGUGUAAUCCUUGCUUGCGUUCAAUGCCUGGCACCUGUUGCGGCCCAACAGGUGGGCUGGGCCCAUGCGGCUUCUGCGGGCCCUACAACGGACAGUGGUUUAGGGCAGUCAACCACUGUUGCGGUCCGAUAGGACCAUAUGGUUGUUGCUCCUGCUAUGGACCCUUUGGUGGCCACUGCUAGCCUGGUUAGAAGGAAAGUAGGUUUCAAAAACUGGUCGAGGCAGAGGACGCAUAUCACAAUAAUUCCACGCUGACUGACACUGCUUUCACUUGUGACCCGUAACUCUCAAACCAGUAACGGAUUAUCUAUUACAAAAUGCAAAAUGUUUGUCCAAAUAAAUUUUACGUCAGUUUUAAA